rnacentral:rRNA from 1 species
UACGGGGGGGGGUAAGCGUUGUUCGGAAUUACUGGGCGUAAAGGGCUCGUAGGCGGCCAACUAAGUCAGACGUGAAAUCCCUCAGCUUAACUGGGGAACUGCGUCUGAUACUGGAUGGCUUGGAUCCGGGAGAGGGAUGCGGAAUUCCAGGUGUAGCGGUGAAAUGCGUAGAUAUCAGGAGGAACACCGGUGGCGAAGGCGGCUCUCUGGACCACAACUGACGCUGAGGCGCGAAAGCUAGGGGAGCAAACAGG